CCUACGGGCGGCAGCAGUGAGGAAUAUUGGUCAAUGGGCGCGAGCCUGAACCAGCCAAGUAGCGUGAAGGAUGACUGCCCUACGGGUUGUAAACUUCUUUUAUAAAGGAAUAAAGUGAGGCACGUGUGCCUUUUUGUAUGUACCUUAUGAAUAAGGAUCGGCUAACUCCGUGCCAGCAGCCGCGGUAAUACGGAGGAUCCGAGCGUUAUCCGGAUUUAUGGGGUUUAAAGGGAGCGUAGGUGGGUUGUUAAGUCAGUUGUGAAAGUUUGCGGCUCAACCGUAAAAUUGCAAUUGAUACUGGCAGCCUUGAGUACAGGAGAGGGAGGCGGAAUUCGUGGUGUAGCGGUGAAAUGCUUAGAUAUCACGAAGAACUCCGAUUGCGAAGGCAGCUUACUGGACUGCAACUGACAUUGAGGCUCGAAAGUGUGGGUAGCAAACAGGAUUAGAUACCCUGGUAGUC
rnacentral:rRNA from 1 species